rnacentral:rRNA from 1 species
GGGAAUAUUGCACAAUGGGCGAAAGCCUGAUGCAGCAACGCCGCGUGAGUGAUGAAGGCCUUCGGGUUGUAAAGCUCUGUCUUCUGGGACGAUAAUGACGGUACCAGAGGAGGAAGCCACGGCUAACUACGUGCCAGCAGCCGCGGUAAUACGUAGGUGGCAAGCGUUGUCCGGAUUUACUGGGCGUAAAGGGCGCGUAGGCGGGCCUUUAAGUCCGGUGUGAAAGAUCAGGGCUAAACCCUGAGAGUGCAUCGGAAACUGGAGGCCUUGGGGAAAGGAGAGGAAAGUGGAAUUCCACGUGUAGCGGUGAAAUGCGUAGAUAUGUGGAGGAACACCAGUGGCGAAGGCGACUUUCUGGACUGUAACGGACGCUGAGGCGCGAAAGCGUGGGGAGCAAACA